rnacentral:rRNA from 1 species
GACGAACGCUGGCGGCGUGCUUAACACAUGCAAGUCGAACGGAAAGGCCCUGCUUUUGUGGGGUGCUCGAGUGGCGAACGGGUGAGUAACACGUGAGUAACCUGCCCUUGACUUUGGGAUAACUUCAGGAAACUGGGGCUAAUACCGGAUAGGAGCUCCUGCUGCAUGGUGGGGGUUGGAAAGUUUCGGCGGUUGGGGAUGGACUCGCGGCUUAUCAGCUUGUUGGUGGGGUAGUGGCUUACCAAGGCUUUGACGGGUAGCCGGCCUGAGAGGGUGACCGGCCACAUUGGGACUGAGAUACGGCCCAGACUCCUACGGGAGGCAGCAGUGGGGAAUAUUGCACAAUGGGCGGAAGCCUGAUGCAGCAACGCCGCGUGCGGGAUGACGGCCUUCGGGUUGUAAACCGCUUUCGCCUGUGACGAAGCGUGAGUGACGGUAAUGGGUAAAGAAGCACCGGCUAACUACGUGCCAGCAGCCGCGGUGAUACGUAGGGUGCGAGCGUUGUCCGGAUUUAUUGGGCGUAAAGGGCUCGUAGGUGGUUGAUCGCGUCGGAAGUGUAAUCUUGGGGCUUAACCCUGAGCGUGCUUUCGAUACGGGUUGACUUGAGGAAGGUAGGGGAGAAUGGAAUUCCUGGUGGAGCGGUGGAAUGCGCAGAUAUCAGGAGGAACACCAGUGGCGAAGGCGGUUCUCUGGGCCUUUCCUGACGCUGAGGAGCGAAAGCGUGGGGAGCGAACAGGCCUAGAUACCCUGGUAGUCCACGCUGUAAACGGUGGGUACUAGGUGUGGGGUCCAUUCCACGGGUUCCGUGCCGUAGCUAACGCUUUAAGUACCCCGCCUGGGGAGUACGGCCGCAAGGCUAAAACUCAAAGGAAUUGACGGGGCCCCGCACAAGCGGCGGAGCAUGCGGAUUAAUUCGAUGCAACGCGUAGAACCUUACCUGGGUUUGACAUGGAUCGGGAGUGCUCAGAGAUGGGUGUGCCUCUUUUGGGGUCGGUUCACAGGUGGUGCAUGGCUGUCGUCAGCUCGUGUCGUGAGAUGUUGGGUUAAGUCCCGCAACGAGCGCAACCCUUGUUCACUGUUGCCAGCACGUUAUGGUGGGGACUCAGUGGAGACCGCCGGGGUCAACUCGGAGGAAGGUGGGGAUGACGUCAAGUCAUCAUGCCCCUUAUGUCCAGGGCUUCACGCAUGCUACAAUGGCUGGUACAGAGAGUGGCGAGCCUGUGAGGGUGAGCGAAUCUCGGAAAGCCGGUCUCAGUUCGGAUUGGGGUCUGCAACUCGACCUCAUGAAGUCGGAGUCGCUAGUAAUCGCAGAUCAGCAACGCUGCGGUGAAUAAGUUCCCGGGGCU